rnacentral:rRNA from 1 species
AAUUAACGCUGGCAGAGUGCAUAACACAUGCAAGUCGAGCGGAACUGGUCGCAAGAUCAGUUUAGCGGCAGACGAGUGAGUAACACGUAAACAAUCUACCCCCGAAUGGCGAAUAACCUGCCGAAAGGCAGGCUAAUGCGCCGUACUCUCCCCGGAAGGCAUCUUCUGGGGAGGAUAGACCCGCAAGGGUCGUUCAGGGAGGAGUUUGCGGCCCAUCAGCUAGUUGGCGGUGUAACGGACCACCAAGGCUACGACGGGUACCCGGGCUGAAAGGCCGGACGGGCACGAUGGCACUGAGACAC